GAGGGUAGAGCUCAGUGGUAGAGCACGUGCUUAGCAUGCACAAGGUCCUGGGUUCAAUCCCCAGCACCUCCA
rnacentral:tRNA from 1 species